GAAACGCGAUAGUUAAUGUGAAUUGCAGAAUUUAGUGAAUCAUCGAAUCUUUGAACGCACAUUGCGCCCCCUGGCAUUCCGGGGGGCAUGCCUGUUCGAGCGUCAUUACACCACUCAAGCCUGGCUUGGUAUUGAGCGCCGCGGCCUGCCCGCGCGCUCCAAUGUCUCCGGCUGAGCCGUCCGUCUCUAAGCGUUGUGAAUAGCGAUCGCUUGCGAGGCCCGGGCGGUUCGACGCCGUUAAACCCCCCCAUUUUCUAUGGUUGACCUCGGAUCAGGUAGGGAUACCCGCUGAACUUAAGC
rnacentral:misc_RNA from 1 species